rnacentral:lncRNA from 1 species
CUACUUAAGUCCUGAAAAUUUCCACAAGGCUGAGUCAAAUCUGCGUUUCAUCAUCUAUAAGAAAGGUACCUAUCGAGAACACCCUGCUGGCCAGUGUGUAAAUAUCUAAAGGAGGACUCAGAAAACACCGGGGAAGUCCAGCCUGCACGUGGUGGCUGGGCUUCAGUGAAGCAUGCAGCACAACAGGAGUUGUAAGUAGUAGUUACAUCAGCAGCCCUGGAAAUUCUGCUCAGAACCAAACUGAACAAAUAACAUUAUCUAAGGCUUACAAUUAUUUAACUCCCUAAAUUUUCUGUCCUCCCAGUAGCACUUUCAAAUGCCUAAAAGCAAUUAAAAGAAACAUUUUUCCAAUGUCUCACAGAACCAUUAGAAACACAAAAUUAAUAGCUUCAUAAACUAUAGCUUCUAUUUUAUCCAUAAUAGAAUGAAGGUGCAUAAACCACAUAGUAAUUAAUCUUUGGACAAAAGCAAACAAUAAAUGGAAUAUAUGGCUAA